AUACGGAGGAUGCGAGCGUUAUCCGGAUUUAUUGGGUUUAAAGGGUGCGUAGGCGGUCGGGUAAGCGUAGGGUGAAAGUCCUCUGCUCAACAGAGGAAGUGCCUUCCGAACUGUCCGACUGGAAUGCUCCUGCCGUGGGAGGAAUGUGUGGUGUAGCGGUGAAAUUCAUAGAGAUCACACAGAACACCGAUUGCGAAGGCAUCUCACGAAGGGGCUAUUGACGCUGAGGCACGAAAGCGUGGGGAUCAAACAGGAUUAGAUACCCUGGUAGUGCACGCAGUAAACGAUGAUGACUAACCGUCGGUCAAGACUGAUCGGUGGCCAAGCGAAAGCGAUAAGUCAUCCACCUGGGGAGUACGACCGCAAGGUUGAAACUCAAAUGAAUUGACGGGG
rnacentral:rRNA from 1 species